GUUCAUUUGCAUGUGUCGUUUGCUAUCACUUAAUUACCAUUCAAGUCUGUCUGAACUGUGUUUUCUUACAGUUCUGCAACCAUAAUCACGUAUAUUGUGUAUAUAAAACACAGACAUAGCCUAUGGCUCUGCAGUCUUUCAAACAGUCAACAUGGGAUGAAAGAUGGUUUCAAAAGAAGCUUACAUUGUAUGGAAGUCUAUGAGAAAAUAGUCUGACUUGCUAGAUGUAGACUGGAGGUCUAAGCCUGGCUUUGGCCACUCCUUGCAGGCAAAUUGCUACUUUCCUUCCAUCAUCUUUUAAUUUUUUUUUUCUCCUAUAGCAGAAUGAUAGGCAGCAUUUCAAAUCUUUUUAAUUCGAGGAUGUACCCCAAUGCCCUUUCAUGCACUAUGUGGAUAAUUGGUGCCUUCUAUUAUAUCAGGUUAAGGCUCCUCAAACUUAGUGUACAAUAAUCAGUCAUCUGCAUAGAAUUGAAUGUCUUUAUUGUAAUUGCAAAGCUGUAUAAUGAUUUUUUUUAAAAAUAUUUUAUUUUUAAAUUUUCAAAUUAACAAAAUAGAGAAUACAAAAGACCACCCCACACCCCUUACACAUACAAACUAAAAGAGUACCUAAGACAAAACUUGUAGGUGAUAAUCAAAGUAAUGGGAAAAAAAUAGAAUAGAAAGUAAGAGGUGGUGCAAGUAAUCCUGGCUUAUGCAGUUGACUUGUGGUGUAUCAAUUUAGUAUUGUUUUUGUAAGAAGUCUGAUAAAGGUGCUGGCAGAGUGUCAAAUCUUCAGAAAAGUGGUGUAUUCGUUUGUUAGAGUGUACGUAAUCUUUUGGAGUGGAAUACAGCUUUUCAUUCCCAUUGGCCAUCUCGCUUAGCUAUGGGGAGAUGGGAGCUAGACUUCCAUGUCACCGCUAGACACUUCCUGGCAGUGCAUAAAGCCAUCUCAAAAAAUCUGUUUUGACAGUUCUUAAAAUGUGUUUUAAUGGUUAUAAGGCUCCCCAGUAGGCAAAUUUGUGGGUGCAAUGAGAAGGCAAAUCCUGCAAAUUUUGUCAUACUGUCGCUAAAUUUGCGCCAAAAAAUACUAAGUUUUAUACAUGACCACGUGCAAUGCAAAAACAAGCCCCACUCUGAACCACAUCUGAAACAUGUCUGAUAGCUCAGGUUUAUGUCUAUGCAAUCUCUGUGGCGUAAUAUAGAGUUGGUGAAAGAAGUUAUAAUGGAUCGAUCAGUAUCUUGCAUUAGUAGUGGCCGACAAACUUCUUGGCACAACCAAAAGACUGCAUCAAUCAUUAUAUUCAACUCUUGACUCCCAUCUCUCUCCAGAUCGGUUAUCAUAAAAGUCCUCCAAAUAGUGAAUUCCUUUCUGGUGCCACACUUCCAGAAUCCUGAUAUCCAGAGUCAUGGGUAUGAGUCGUUCUGUCUCAGAGGUGUUUUAGGUGAGAGUCUAGUUUCUAGUCCAAGACAUUUAUGGACCUCAUGCCGUAUUUUAAUAAAAUGUGUCAAAACAUUCUAGUGGUUAUAGUCCUUGGGGUCCAUUUAUAAAAGCACAGUCUCUUUAAAAGCGUACAUUGCAAUACAGGUCCAGGAGGGGAACACUUUGCUUUUCAAAAAGAAAAGAUAAAAGUUGAAUUUGAGCACCCAAAACAACACUUUUUAAAACUAGGCACUUGAAGACCGCCCAGUUUAUAAUCGCAUGUAAGUUUCUCCACAGAAACCCUGGGAGUCUUACCAUAUCAUAUGAACUUUUGAAUAUGUUAAAGUGUUUUAAAGAAACUUUCUGGUACUGGAAUAGGUAAGGACUGGAAAAAGUAUUGUAAUAGUGGUAAUAUAUUCAUUUUUGCACUAUUUAUUUGGCCAAGCAGGGUGAUAGGCAAAUUUGUCCAUUUCUGCAAUUCCAUUAUUAUUUCAUUGCUCAAUGCAGGUAAAUUAAAUUUAUACAAGUUUUUAAGAUUAUUAUCAACCAUGAUUCCAAGGUAUCUCACCACAUUUGGGGCCCAUUUGAAUGUAUUUCUGUGCUGGUAUUCACUAUAAUCAAAUUUUGUCAGUGGGAUAAUUUCACUUUUUUUUUUUUUUACAAUUGACUAUAUACCUUGAAACCAUCCCAAAAAUAUCCAGGAGUGUCUUUAAUUUAGCAAGGGAAUCAAAUGGGUUUGUCAAAUAAAAGAAUUAUAUAAUCCACCAGAAGGUUAAUUUUGUGGGUUGUGGGUCCCACUUUAAAGCCUUUUAUGUCUGCAUCUUCUCUGAUUGGCUCUGCUAAAGGCUUCAUGACAAGAACAAAGAGCGCAGUAGAUGGGGGACAACCUUGUCUACUAGAUCUACUCAACAAAAAGGCGGUGUAUAAUGAUUUUUUUUUUUUUAAGCAAUUCCUCUGGGUGGUACAAAAAGAAUACAAGAUACAGCGAUAAAAGCAUUAAUACCCAACAACUCGCAUAUAGAAUGAAUAAACAGAUGUUCCAGCAGGAUAUUAUUAUUGCACGUAUAGCUGUGAUUUUUUUUUUUUUU